rnacentral:miRNA from 1 species
CUAGCAAGGACUCCCAAA